rnacentral:misc_RNA from 1 species
GAUGAAGAACGCAGCGAAAUGCGAUACGUAAUGUGAAUUGCAGAAUUCAGUGAAUCAUCGAAUCUUUGAACGCACAUUGCGCCCCCUGGUAUUCCGGGGGGCAUGCCUGUCCGAGCGUCAUUACAACCCUCAAGCUCAGCUUGGUGUUGGGCCCCGCCGCCCCGGCGGGCCCUAAAGUCAGUGGCGGUGCCGUCCGGCUCCGAGCGUAGUAAUUCUUCUCGCUCUGGAGGUCCGGUCGUGUGCUCGCCAGCAACCCCCAAUUUUUUUCAGGUUGACCUCGGAUCAGGUAGGGAUACCCGCUGAACUUAAGCAUAUCAAUAAGCGGAGGA